rnacentral:lncRNA from 1 species
CAUUGAUCUUGGAGCAGCAGCACAUUACACAGGGGACAAAGCAAGUCCAGAUCAGAAUGCUUCAACCCACACACCUCAGUCUUCAGUUAAGACUUCAGUGCCUAGCAGCAAGUCAUCUGGUGACCUUGUUGAUCUGUUUGAUGGCACCAGCCAGUCAACAGUAACAGCAACAAGUGGGAAUGGAGACUUUGGUGACUGGAGUGCCUUCAACCAAGCCCCAUCAGGCCCUGUUGCUUCCAGUGGCGAGUUCUUUGGCAGUGCCUCACAGCCAGCGGUAGAACUUGUUAGUGGCUCACAAUCAGCUCUAGGCCCACCUCCUGCUGCCUCAAAUUCUUCAGACCUGUUUGAUCUUAUGGGCUCGUCCCAGGCAACCAUGACAUCUUCCCAGAGUAUGAAUUU